ACGAACGCUGGCGGCGUGCUUAACACAUGCAAGUCGAGCGAUGAAACUCCUUCGGGAGUGGAUUAGCGGCGGACGGGUGAGUAACACGUGGGUAACCUGCCUCAUAGAGGGGAAUAGCCUUCCGAAAGGAAGAUUAAUACCGCAUAAGAUUGUAGUUUCGCAUGAAACAGCAAUUAAAGGAGCAAUCCGCUAUGAGAUGGACCCGCGUCGCAUUAGCUAGUUGGUGAGGUAACGGCUCACCAAGGCGACGAUGCGUAGCCGACCUGAGAGGGUGAUCGGCCACAUUGGGACUGAGACACGGCCCAGACUCCUACGGGAGGCAGCAGUGGGGAAUAUUGCACAAUGGGGGAAACCCUGAUGCAGCAACGCCGCGUGAGUGAUGAAGGUCUUCGGAUUGUAAAACUCUGUCUUCAGGGACGAUAAUGACGGUACCUGAGGAGGAAGCCACGGCUAACUACGU
rnacentral:rRNA from 1 species